UUGAUAUAUUAACAGCUAGCACAAGCAAAAAUGCCUGCCACUAUGAAAAACUGCUUGAUUGUUAAAGCUUUUAAAACAUUGUUUUUUCUUAAUUUUUAUGAAUCAUAAUAAUGCCAAUGGAUGGCACAGCCUUUUAGCAGUGCUUAGCUGUGGCAAUAAUCAGGAAUAUUUCUUUUAAAGACAAAUUGUGUUUCUGAAAUCCAAUCAAAGGCAGCAAACUGAGCAAGAUGGCAAUCUUUUUUAAUUAAAUUUCUUAAAUUUUUAAAUUUUAGAUUUCUUAAUUUUUUUAAUAAAAUGUUUGUGUUGCGAUGAUAAAAGGGGUAGAAGGCAGGUCCUAGGAUUAGAGUUUCCUAUAGGCAUCAGCAAAUGUAAAAGUUUUUGACUAUGUAACACAGUCUGAACAUAUGGCUGUUUAAUGGUUUCUUUUGAUGUAUUAGCUGUUUAUGUCAAUUCUUGGUACCAUAACUAAAAUUUGCAUUUAACAAAUCUCAUACAAUUUCAACACAACCAUUUGGAUUGAUGGAUGAAAGCUCCCUUAUAUCUUUAUUUGUCUUUCCAGGGCAACCAUACUAUUACUGUCAUAAUCAAGACAAUUUUUCACAAAUCAAGCACUUACUACUUACACUGAUUUACUAAAAAAAAAAUUGUCUUAUUGUAAUUGAUUUAUUUAAGCUCAAUUGAUAUUGAAAUUAUUUCUGGUCUGAGGUUCCAGAGUUAUGGGACUUUUAACAGUAAUGUUUGAAGAUAUGUUUAUAAAACAUCGAAUUACUUAAUGAAAAGUAAAAUCACAAACAUACCAAACUCAGAGAAAAAUUCAAAACAGGAAGUGGCAAAAGCAAAAGAUCAAACACAUCAAAGGAAUGGAUAACAACUGUCAUAUUGAAUUGGUAUAGGUAUUUUCUUAUGUAGAAAAUGGUGGAAAGUAUUCUACAGGUCCAUUUUACUGACUUCUGAUUAAAACCUAAAUUUUCCGUUUGUUUUCUUAAAACUAUUUCUGUAUGCAAAACAUGAUUAAACCUCCUAAAUUUUCUAUAUGCAGAAAACAUGUGUAUCAAGCCCUCUUUGUUUUAAAUUUUCUUUAAUAUCAUAGAAAAAACUUAUUUGGAAGGAAUUGAUCUUUGUCCAGUAUGUAAUCAAUGUACCCACGGACAAAUUUUACUUGAGAGAGGCAGUAAUGUUGCAUUUAUAGUAUUGAUAUUAUACUUAUAUAAUGUUUGUAACUAGCAAGGGAGAUAACUGAGUAAUACAGCAUUAUUAAGUUAUUCUGUUCAUCAGCUAGCAACGGAAGUCAAUGACGUUCAAAAUGUUCAUUUUUGAGAAGUCGAUAUUGGUUUUAAAAGAAUUGCUCAUUAUAACUCAAAACUUUCAAAUAUGAUUUUUCCUUUGUUCGCCAUAGCACAAAACUUUCAAAUUACUCUUUUAGUGUGUACAUUUGUUGUACUAUUUAAGGUUAAAUUAAAUGCCCACUUGGAUAAUAUCUGUUAAGGAGGUGUUCCAUUAUUGGAAGGAAAUACAUAUAUAGUUGAAGAUUGAAUUUUUCUGUUGUUCACUACAACACAAAACGUUCAAAUGUGAUUUUCAUUUUCCUCCCUUUGUUAGUUUACAAACAAGUAGUAGACAGGGAAUACCAUAUACAGAAUAAGAUAGGUAUGUUGAAAGUUGAUGUCUGUGAUGUUAUCCAAUUGUUACUUAUAGAAGGUCUCAUUUGUUAGUUUCGUAUGGUCUCAAUUUUUGUACAUAUUAUUUACCUGUUAUUGUUUUAUAUUAUUUUAGUAUUUAUUCUGCAGUAAUCAGAAAAAUGUAUAAAUCUUUAUUUACCUUAUCAUUUUUA
rnacentral:lncRNA from 1 species